GAUAGCACAGCAGGCAGGCAGGCAUUUUCCUUUCUGUCUUUCAUGUAAUGACCGUGAAAUCCCUUCCAUAAGAACAUAGAGGUUUUGUUCUGUUCUGUUUCUAAUUUCAGAACAAUAAGUCUCCAAUGCACCACCACCCACCGGAAAAAGAGCACACAGUGACUGACAAGAUGGUUUUCCGGGUGUCAUGUGAGAAGCAUUGAUCUACGAUCUGUUCCCCUUCCUGCUUCCUCUUCUCCCUUUAGCCCAUGUUCUGGUGCUAUCCAGAAGGAAAAGACUUUCUGAAGGGGUUCCAGACUCUCAUAGACUUCGAUGGGAGGGCUACUCACAGGAGGGAAGCUUGGAGCUGAAGAAAUGUGGAUCAAAGCAAUCAGCUUAAAGCAUCUCAUUCUGCCUUUCAUAGGCCAGCUGUUCUGAAAGUUCUACGGCCUUCCACAGUCAUGCCUGCCUUUCCCGAAAUGGCAGUUGCAAGACAGUUAAAGGUCAAAAAAGAGAGAAAACGUCACAGUUCUCUUCAGCAGAACUUUUGUCAGUGUGAUCGAGAAGUGUCUCAAGUGACAAGUGAGCUGACCAGGGUAAGAAAUAGUUUCCUGUGUCUGUUCUUGGCCUUGUUACUUUCCGGGAAGGGACAGAUUCCAGAGGACCCCCUCAUUGUCCUUGCCCUCAGCCUCAAAAUGUGGAUUGGGAGUUAGAGUUUUUUUUCUAGGAACAGAAAACCUCAUUUCUUUUUCUUUUUCUUUUUUUUCACACGGAGUUUUGCUCUGUCACCCAGGCUGGAGUACAGUAUCACGAUCUCAGCUCACUGCAACCUCCACCUCCCAGGUUCAAGUGAUUCUCCUGCCUCAGCCUCCUGAGUCUCUGGGAUUACAGGCAACCACCACCUUGCUGGGCUGAUUUUUGUAUUUUUAGUAGAGACGGGGUUUUCCCAUGUUGGCCAGACUUGUCUCCAACUCCUGGCCCCAACCAAUCUUCUGGCCUUAGCCUCCCAAAGUGCUGGGAUUACAGGAGUGAGCCACUGCGCCUGGCCAGAAAAACUCAUUUCUUGUCCUGGCUUUGCUACUAACUCGCUUGUAACCUUUAGCUAAUCUUUUAAUUUUCUGGGCCUCGGUUUCUACGUUUUUAAAAUUGGAGAGUUGAAAUGAUUGAUCUCUAAGAUAUUUAGUACUAGUGUUAUAUAAUUUCAGCAUAGAAUUUUUCUCAAGUAUGUUCUAAUACAUGUGUCUCAGAAUUCCCUAAUUUGCACGUCACCUCACUCUACAGUUUUUCCCUUUGUCUAUGCAUUAUAUAGGCUAGACGAUCAUUUGUGGAAUAUUUUU
ensembl:lincRNA